GGGCCCGCACAAGCGGUGGAGCAUGUGGUUUAAUUCGAUGAUACGCGAGGAACCUUACCAGGGCUUAAAUGUAAGUUGCAUUAGAUAGAGAUAUCUAUUUCUUCGGACCACUUACAAGGUGCUGCAUGGUUGUCGUCAGCUCGUGCCGUGAGGUGUCAGUUAAGUCCUAUAACGAGCGCAACCCCUGUUGUUAGUUGCCAGCGAUUCAAGUCGGGAACUCUAACAAGACUGCCGGUGCAAACCGUGAGGAAGGUGGGGGAUGACGUCAAAAUCAUCACGGCCCUUACGUCCUGGGCUACACACGUGCUACAAUGGUAGGGACAGAGAGCAGCCACUACGCGAGUAGGAG
rnacentral:rRNA from 1 species